rnacentral:misc_RNA from 1 species
CGGAAAUUUGACCAUGAUUUUAAGGAGUAGGAAGCGAUGACCAUGAUCAUUUUUCUAUUUUAACAAAAAUUUGACAAAAAAAAAUUUUUUUUUUAAACUUUGGCGACAAUAUGGGUGAAAAUAGAUAUUUAGGCCAUAUUGUUAGCCAACAACCAAAAACGUUCGAUCUGAUCAUCGACUCAGUGUAUUUACCAGAAAAAAAACCAGAAAAAAUCUCAAAAACCAGAAAAAUGUUAAAUGAUCAUUUAUUUGGUUAUAUUUUAACCAUUUCAAGUGGUAUUCUAUGGGGAUUAUCAACACCAUUUAUGAAACAAUCAUUUGAUUGGAAUGAUUCAAUUUCAUCGAGAAAUAUUCUAUCUUCGUUUUGGCCUAUAAUUAAAUUGUUAAUUUCAAAUUGGAAGUUUAUCAUAUUUUUUUUACUAAAUCAACUUGGUUCAAUCAUAUAUACUUGUUCAUUAUCAUAUACACCAAUCAAUCUAGCUGUACCAUUAAGUAAUUCAAUCAAUUUAAUAUUAGUUUUUAUAUUUGAUAGUUGGUUUUUCAAGGAAAAUAUUAUCAUCAAUACAGAAAUUCUCAUCGGUUUAUUUCUAAUCAUCAUUGGCAUUACAUUAUGUACUUUAUCCUGAUGAAGAAAAUUCAUUUUUGAAAAACAUUCGAAUAUUGGCCCAAUCAAUUCAUAGAUAAAAUAUAAACACUCUGCCGUUAUUUUAUACGGAUUCUACUCGUUCCCCAGUGUUGUGGUGUGUUUUUGUUUACAUAAAAUCAUCAUUUGAUUUGUGUGUUGUAAUGCAAUGCAGUGAAGUCAUAUAACAAGAAAUAUUGUUUUAUAACAUGUUUUACACAAACAAACACACACACCACACAAUGAUGAAAUGAAUAAAUCAAGAAAAAAGAUGAUGA